ensembl:lncRNA Lemd2 LEM domain nuclear envelope protein 2
UUAAGUAAAUCAACAUUUUAUUGAAUGUCUACCACGUGCUAGCACUGCGUUAGGAUAAGCACUGCUAGAUCUAACAGACAAAGGUAAACUAGAGGGCGGGGGGGAGAGAUGAAAGCACCCGCGAGCGCACAGACACCGGUAAAAAGGUAACCAACCCAACCCUUUGGACCUCACCAACAUGGCGGCUCCAGGCCGACACAGACAUUUUUCAUCAUGGCGGACAGACCCUUCAGGCGCCGCCCUUCCCAAUAUGGCGUCCAGUGUUGACCUUCCCAUCAUGGCGCGCGGCCCCGCCCGCUCCGCCGCGGCUGCCGGCGGGAGCAGUUCCGGGUGCGGUGCGCGCCGGGGGCGGGCGAGGGGGCGGUGUCCUGGCCAUGGCCGGCCUGUCGGACCUGGAGUUGCGGCGGGAGCUGCAGGCCCUGGGCUUCCAGCCAGGCCCCAUCACCGACACCACUCGCAACGUCUACCGCAACAAGCUGCGCCGCCUGCGGGGCGAGGCCCGGCUGCGUGACGACGAGCGGCCGCGGGAGGAGGCCCGGCCGCGGGGCCCGGAGCGUCAGCGGGAGGAGGCCCGGCUACGCGAGGAAGCGCCGCUGCGCGCGCGGCCCGCCGCGGCCGUCCCGCGGUCGGAGCCCUGGCUGUCCCCGCCAGCCCCGAGCGCGGCUUCCGACACCCCGGGGCCUUACGGCAACUUCGGGGCCUCCGCCGCUCCCUGGGCCGUGAGCCGGGGCCUCUCCUACCCGACCCACACCGGGCCCGGGCCGCUGCGGCGCCGCGCCUCGGUCCGGGGCAGCUCCGAGGACGACGAGGAUGCGCGGACGCCCGACAGGGCCGCCCCGGGCCGGGCCCGCCACUGGUGGGUCGCGUCGUCCGCCUCGGCGCGGCCGCACUCCGCGCUCCUCGGCGCCGACACGCGUCCCGGCCUUAAGGGUCAGCGCACGGGCUCCGCGGGCGUGGUGCGGGCCCGACCCGAGGCGGGCCGGCGGCUGGAGCGCUGCCUGUCUCGGCUCCUGCUCUGGGCCAGCCUGGGGCUGCUGCUCGUCUUCCUGGCCAUCCUCUGGGUGAAGAUGGGCAAGCCCUCGGCGCCACAGGAGGCGGAGGACAACAUGAAAUUGUUGCCGGUGGACUGUGAGAGAAAAACAGAUGAGUUCUGCCAGGCCAGGCAGAAGGCGGCCCUGCUGGAGCUGUUGCAUGAGCUGUACAACUUCCUGGCCAUCCAAGCAGGUAAUUUUGAGUGUGGCAAUCCGGAGAAGCUAAAGAGCAAAUGCAUCCCUGUCCUGGAGGCCCAGGAGUACAUAGCUAACGUGACCAGCAGUUCCUCUUCGAGGUUUAAGGCUGCACUGACCUGGAUACUGAGCAGCAACAAGGAUGUGGGCAUCUGGCUGAAAGGGGAAGACCCAUCUGAGCUAGUGACCACCGUGGACAAAGUGGUCUGCCUGGAGUCCGCCCGGCCCCGGAUGGGCAUGGGCUGCCGCCUCAGCCGCGCCCUGCUCACCGCGGUUACCCAUGUGCUCAUCUUUUUCUGGUGCCUGGCCUUCCUGUGGGGGCUGCUGAUCCUCCUGAAGUACCGAUGGCGGAAGCUUGAAGAGGAAGAGCAGGCCAUGUAUGAGAUGGUGAAGAAGAUCAUAGAUGUGGUUCAGGACCACUAUGUGGACUGGGAACAGGACAUGGAGCGCUACCCCUACGUGGGCAUCCUUCACGUGCGCGACAGUCUAAUCCCCCCACAGAGCAGGCGGCGCAUGAAGCGAGUAUGGGACCGCGCCGUGGAAUUCCUGGCUUCCAAUGAAUCUCGGAUCCAGACCGAGUCCCACCGAGUGGCCGGGGAGGACAUGCUGGUGUGGAGAUGGACUAAGCCUUCCUCCUUCUCUGACUCGGAGCGAUAGGACAGGGCCUAAUCAGCCAGCCUGGCUUGGCUGUGCCACCCAGCUGGGGCAAGGACACAGACCCUCGGUGCUCAUUCACACCUGCCUUGAUUGCCCUCCUGGUCUCCAUUCUGGGACACAUGGGCUUACUUAGGGGAGCCAGGAGAACGGGGAAGCCCCUCCUCUAUGCCAGUAUUACUGACAGAAGGGAGAAUGGCUUGUUCUCCCUGGAUAAAUCCUGGAGGUUCUGCACUCAGCUAGACAGCAGACAGUGAUCCUGAAGUCCCUCGCUUGGGAGGUGGGUCGGGUGGUGGGCUGGGGUAGCAGGGGCCUGGGGAAAGCUUGGCCCAUGUGCCUUUGUGCUGUUCCCAGCGAGCUUAAGGGUGAGGGGAGGAAUCCCGCCCCACUCCUGCAUGGGCCUCUUUGUCCAGAGGAGGAGAUGUUAGAACUUACAGAACAGAGGCGGCUGGGAUCCGGAAGGGGCGGAAGCUCCAGCCACAGCUGCCUGUGCCUCAGUGCAUCUCACAGGUCAGCAGUGCAGCCUGAGCCGGGGUGGAGCACAGCCUCAUCACGACUGUGACCGGGCCUCUCCUGACCGGCUGGCCAGAACAGAUAGGGUGCAGCAUCAUGGCUGCACACUGCCCUCUGCAGGCCUCAUGGAGCAACGUGGGCCAUUAGCACUCUGCUAGGGAAGACCUGCUCCAAAAACACCCAGUGGGAGGCCUCAUUGGCUGAGGGAGGCUUUCCAGCAACUGGUCCAGCGGGCCUCACCCACAGCAGCUGGAGUAGCCCCUGGAGGUGACGCAGCUGCCCCUUUUGGACCUAUUGCUGUUCUGUUUCUUAAUAAAGUACCAUCUCCGUCU